GCCGGGUUUGGUGGCUCGUGCCUGUAGUCCCAGCUAAUUGGAAGGCUGAGGUGGGAGGAUCGCUUAAGCCCAGGAGUUCUGGGCUGUAGUGUGCUCUGCCCAUCAGGUGCCUGCACUAAGUUCGGCAUCAAUACGGUGACCUCACGGGCCAGGUGGGGGGACCACCAGGUUGCCUAAGGAGGGGUGAACUGGCCCAGGUUGGAAAUGGAGCAGGUCAAAACUCCCAUGCUGAUCAGUAGUGGGAUCGCACCUGUGAAUAGCCACUGCACUACAGCCUGGGCAACAUAGUGAGACCCCGUCACU
rnacentral:SRP_RNA from 1 species